AUGCUACCCACAAACAUCAAAUUAACUUCACAGGAUGAUCAUCCUGGAAGUUUUUCGACCAUGAAGGCAAGGUUUGGGGUGGGUUUUGCAUUUUCUGCAGAGAGGGCAUCGUCGAAGUCGGUUCCAGAUCUUGGCUCUAUAAGGUUUCCCAUUUGCACGUGGAUGAACUUGUAUACGCCAUCCAUGUACGGUAUCGGGGGUACCAAAACCACAGGCUUAAAGAGUGUACAUGACCACAGGGUUUUAUUUGACUGUUUCUGGUCAGCCUCGGCCACAAUCCACGAACUGUCUUCGCUUGCCGCUCUCAAGUAUUUGUCGUUGUAG
rnacentral:lncRNA from 1 species